rnacentral:misc_RNA from 1 species
UACGAAGGGGGCUAGCGUUGUUCGGAAUCACUGGGCGUAAAGCGCACGUAGGCGGACUUUUAAGUCAGGGGUGAAAUCCCGGGGCUCAACCCCGGAACUGCCUUUGAUACUGGAAGUCUUGAGUCCGAGAGAGGUGAGUGGAACUCCGAGUGUAGAGGUGAAAUUCGUAGAUAUUCGGAAGAACACCAGUGGCGAAGGCGGCUCACUGGCUAGAUACUGACGCUGAGGUGCGAAGGUGUGGGGAGCAAACAGG